rnacentral:rRNA from 1 species
UACAGAGGCCUCGAGCGUUAGGCGGAAUCACUGGGCUUAAAGCGCGUGUAGGCGGACCGUUAAGUGCCUUGUGAAAUCCCACGGCUCAACCGUGGAACCGCUGGGCAUACUGGCGGUCUUGGGCCACUCAGGGGCAACCGGAACAAGCGGUGGAGCGGUGAAAUGCGUAGAUAUCGGGAGGAACACCGGUGGCGAAGGCGGUUCUCUGGGCCUUACCUGACGCUGAGGAGCGAAAGCGUGGGGAGCGAACAGG